GAAGAGGAGUCGUAAAUAAAUCUCUCUUACAUUUCUCUCAAACCCUAAAAUUUUCAUUUUCACACCGUAUAGAAGUUUGAAUACCGAUGCCUUUUUUUUUCCGGCGAUCAAAACAUUAGAAGGCGUUCGCCAAGGUUAUCGAUUCUAAGGAAGAUAAAGGGUAUGUUGAUUCGUGAUCUUCACCAUCAACACGGUAGUGGCUAUGUUUUCGCGCUCCUCUGUUUUCAGAUCGUUUCAAGUCUUCGUAGCUUGAAGAAAACUCAAAGAGACAUGUGUCCAACGUAGACACAAUCAUUUUGGUUUUGAGUGCUGGCGUGGAGAAUAUGCACAUAGUUCACCAUUAUUUGAUGAAGAAUAAAAAGUGGUGAGUUUUCCUGCAAAUUAUAUCAUUGUUGAACUAUGUGUGUUUUUUUCUUUUCCUUUGUGCUAAAUAAUUGUUUAAGUACAUUAGUGUGUUCUGGUUCGUCAUAGUUACCAGUUUCAGAAUCACAAACUAACCUUGAAGUACUACUAAUCAAAGAAGCGGCUCUUAGCAUAACAAGGAUCAACUAUGUAUGGAAAUCCCAUAGAUGAAGUGUGAUACUAGUUAUCAAAUUGCUGAUAUAAAGACUUGGCCUCUGCUAUAAAGUGCCCUACUGCUUUCGGCGAAGCUAUUGGUUCCAGAUUUUUUUCCAGAGGGAGCUAGGAGCACAUGAAUCCCAAGUUUCUUACUGAAGGCUUGUUAUGGAUGGGUCCUACUAUUGAUGACUUUGGUUUCUCACUUUUGAAACUUAAGGAUUUGAUAGAUUAUUGUAAUGAUCUUGUGAUGUAAUCUAGUACAGCUGCCAGAAAUGCUACAAUCAAACUGCUGGGUGCUUUACACAAGUUGUUUUUGCUAAGACGUCAAACCGCUGGAUUACUUAAGCAUACAAGUGCACUGGACGCUGAAUAUGAGAAAAACCCUUUUAAGGUGACUUCGGCUUCAAAGAGAGUUUGUUAAGACCUAGAGAAGAUACGAGUAGCAAUACUACAAAUUGAGGACCUAUCUUUUUAAGGGCUUUGGAAAUUCCUGAUUGGAAGAUGCAAUUUGGAGUUAAUGUAAGCUGUAAACCAAGUUCUGGAAGAGGUUAUUAAGUAUCCAACCAACUGGAAUUGAUUCCUUUAAUUGUAAUAGCCCUAACAGAUGAGAAAAUGACAGCAGAAGGACGUAAAGAUCUUUAUAGUUGGAUGACAAAAUAACUUGGGGGAUUAAGCGACUCUGUGGAUGCUAUAUAUACAUCUACUAAAACCUGCAAGCAAUGAUGGUUCAAAUCAGUAGUCAAUAGAUAUGCGAGAAACAAGUGAAUGAUGAAUUUCUGAGAGAUUGAGAGUUAGUGGACUAGAAACGAUUGAGAAGAACUUCAAAAGAUAUUCAAGGCCUACACUAGUUCUUAUGCUUUAAAAGGUAAGACCAGAGUUUGUUCAAGCUGCCACCUGAAAUGCUACAACCAAACUAUUGGGUGCUUUACACAAGAGUUUUUUGCUAAGACGUCCAAAGGAUUUAGUAAUCCUGCACUACUAAGUACGCUUGAUGCUGAAUAUGAGAAAAUCACCUUUUCAGGGGACUUCGACUUCCAAGAGAGUUGCUAAGAGCUAGAAAAGAUAUGAGUAGCCAGAUUACCACCCCCCCCC